UCCUCUAUAGUACAGCGGUUAGUAUAUCCGCCUUUCAUCGAAUGCCUGUAAUGGUGUGCUAUGUAGCGCGGGAGAUCGGGGUUCGAUUCCCCGUGGGGGAA
rnacentral:tRNA from 3 species